UACCGUAUUUAGCGUUACGGUUCCUUGGGUAUGCAAUAUCUAGGGUGAAGAGGGAAGACGGUGCGCCCUUGAAGGGCAAUGCCGGCGCUGCCCCCGCAACUGUGAGCGGCGAGCCCGCGUCCAAGACUGCCACUGGUGCGCCGGUCCUUCGGAACCGGCCCCGGGAAGGCCGGACGGGGGCUGUGACCCGCAAGCCAGGAGACCUGCCGUAAUGGCCGCAACGUC
rnacentral:ncRNA from 2 species